ACAUUUUAACAUCAACAUGUUCUAUGUUGCUAACAUGAACAAAAUGAAAGAUUUCUUGAAAUGAGAGGUGACCCAGAUGAUCGCUAAGCCUUUUAAAAAUUGGAUUUGGCCCGG